rnacentral:sRNA from 1 species
UUUACAGGCUUGGCGGUUGAAGUCUUUGGUUUGUUCCCAGAACAAUCCUGGGCAGAGGCAGCAGCAGUGCAAACUUCUUCACACUACCCUGGCACUGUACCUUAAACCUGACCUGUGAGGACUACUUCUAGGAGUCAAAGGCUAUUCCAGGGUGAAUCAGACAUUGGCUUCU